rnacentral:rRNA from 1 species
GACGAACGCUGGCGGCGUGCUUAACACAUGCAAGUCGAGCGGUAAGGCCCUUUCGGGGGUACGACGAGCGGCGAACGGGUAGAGUAACACGUGGGUGGACCUCGCCCUCCAGCUCUGGGAGUAAGCCUGGGAAACCGGGUACUAAUACUGGAUAUGACUCCAUGACGCAUGUUGUGGGGUGGAAAGCCUUGUGCGGCUGAGGAUGGGCCCGCGGCCUAUCAGCUUGUUGGUGGGGU